GAAUGCUGACAUAAGUAACGAUAAAGCGGGUGAAAAGCCCGCUCGCCGGAAGACCAAGGGUUCCUGUCCAACGUUAAUCGGGGCAGGGUGAGUCGACCCCUAAGGCGAGGCCGAAAGGCGUAGUCGAUGGGAAACGGGUUAAUAUUCCCGUACUUGGUGUUACUGCGAAGGGGGGACGGAGAAGGCUAUGUUGGCCGGGCGACGGUUGUCCCGGUUUAAGCGUGUAGGUGUGUGUUCCAGGUAAAUCCGGUUCACUUUAACACUGAGGCGUGACGACGAGGCACUACGGUGCUGAAGCAACAAAUGCCCUGCUUCCAGGAAAAGCCUCUAAGCAUCAGGUAACACGAAAUCGUACCCCAAACCGACACAGGUGGUCAGGUAGAGAAUACCAAGGCGCUUGAGAGAACUCGGGUGAAG
rnacentral:rRNA from 1 species